rnacentral:rRNA from 1 species
AUUGAACGCUGGCGGCAUGCUUUACACAUGCAAGUCGAACGGCAGCACGGACUUCGGUCUGGUGGCGAGUGGCGAACGGGUGAGUAAUACAUCGGAACGUACCCAGUAAUGGGGGUUAACUAGUCGAAAGAUUAGCUAAUACCGCAUACGCCCUACGGGGGAAAGAGGGGGAUCGCAAGACCUCUUGUUAUUGGAGCGGCCGAUGGCUGAUUAGCGAGUUGGUGGGGUAAAGGCCUACCAAGGCGACGAUCAGUAGCGGGUCUUAGAGGACGAUCCGCCACACUGGAACUGAGACACGGUCCAGACUCCUACGGGAGGCAGCAGUGGGAAUCUUGGACAAUGGGCGAAAGCCUGAUCCAGCAAUGCCGCGUGCGUGAAGAAGGCCUUCGGGUUGUAAAGCGCUUUUGUCUGGGAGCAAAUCCUUGUGGCUAAUACCCACCGGGGAUGAGAGUACCAGAAGAAUAAGGACCGGCUAACUACGUGCCAGCCGCCGCCGUAAAAC